rnacentral:rRNA from 1 species
GAUGAACGCUGGCGGCGUGCCUAAUACAUGCAAGUCGAGCGAACAGACGAGGAGCUUGCUCCUCUGAUGUUAGCGGCGGACGGGUGAGUAACACGUGGAUAACCUACCUAUAAGACUGGGAUAACUUCGGGAAACCGGAGCUAAUACCGGAUAAUAUGUUGAACCGCAUGGUUCAAUAGUGAAAGACGGUCUUGCUGUCACUUAUAGAUGGAUCCGCACCGCAUUAGCUAGUUGGUAAGGUAACGGCUUACCAAGGCAACGAUGCGUAGCCGACCUGAGAGGGUGAUCGGCCACACUGGAACUGAGACACGGUCCAGACUCCUACGGGAGGCAGCAGUAGGGAAUCUUCCGCAAUGGGCGAAAGCCUGACGGAGCAACGCCGCGUGAGUGAAGAAGGUCUUCGGAUCGUAAAACUCUGUUAUUAGGGAAGAACAAAUGUGUAAGUAACUAUGCACGUCUUGACGGUACCUAAUCAGAAAGCCACGGCUAACUACGUG